rnacentral:rRNA from 1 species
UACGUAGGGGGCAAGCGUUGUCCGGAAUCAUUGGGCGUAAAGAGCGUGUAGGCGGCUCGAUAAGUCUGCUGUGAAAGUCCAGGGCUCAACCCUGGAAAGCCGAUGGAUACUGCAGGGCUAGAGUCCGGAAGAGGCGAGUGGAAUUCCUGGUGUAGCGGUGGAAUGCGCAGAUAUCAGGAGGAACACCAAUAGCGAAGGCAGCUCGCUGGGACGGUACUGACGCUAAGGCGCGAAAGCGUGGGGAGCGAACAGG